rnacentral:tRNA from 1 species
GGCCGAGUGGUGUAGUUGGUUAUCACGUUUCGUUAACACCGAAAAGGUCCUCAGUUCGAGUCUGGGCUUGGUCA